AUGCAUUUGUGGCGCUGUAUCCUAGUCAGUGCUGCCGAUUCCGAAGAAGGGCCUAAAAAUCCUUUAAAGGGCAUAUCGAUGAAGUCCCUGGUGCUUGCUUGUUACGCCCAGUUUCGGGUGGGUGCUGGGGGUUAAGGCUUCCGGGCGCACGCCAAUGGCAUGGCGCUCCCGACCCGGUUGCCGUGGAGACCGGUGUUUGUGCGACGUCAGCCGCGUAGUGAGCUUGCUCAUCUUCCUGACGCGUACGACUCUGGAGAGGAACCUGCAUUUCGGUGCACAGAAUCGUGUGCUGUGUGCAGCGUAGCCUGCCUUGCGUGAAUGCGAUGGGGACAGGGGAGCUACGCAUAGUUUGCUUAUGGCCAUAGGCAGAUGUGAUAUUCCCUCGAAACCGUAUUUGCAAAAGAGGAUAAGAAUCGGUGUGAACUGCUGUGGAAAUCACCUAGGCAGUCUGAAAUACGGGCAGGUGUGGGAUUGCAGUACGGACUAAGUGGCAAUCGGGUACAGUCAAUGGCGACAUGGCUGCACCGGGCCGAACGGGAAACCGCCGCUUGGCGACAAGCGGUGUCCGGCGGGGAAAUCCGACCCGACCUAAGCCGUAAGGUUUACCACACUUGCUGCCACAUAUCAUUAGA
rnacentral:sRNA from 1 species